rnacentral:rRNA from 1 species
UAAAAAGGUAAAUUAUUAAACUAAAUUAUUAAUAGAUAUGUUCUUUAAAGUUAAAAAUUUUGGCGGUAUUUUAUCUUUUCAGAGGAACCUGUUCUAUAAUUGAUAAUCCACGAUUAAUUAAACUUUAAUUAGUAAUUUGUAUAUCGUUGUUUAUAAAUAUUUUAAAAGAAUAAAAAUAUUUUUAAUAUAAGAUUUUAUAAAAUUUCAGAUCAAGGUGCAGUUUAUAUUAAAGAAGAAAUGGGUUACAAUAAAAUUAUUUUUGGAAAAUUAAUUGAAAUAUUUUUAUGAAAUUGGAUUUGAAAGUAAUUAAUUUAAUUUUAAAUUAAUGAUAAAGAUCUAAAAUAUGU